UCAAAAGCUUCGUGAAAACCUAACCUACACUACUACAGUCAUCAAAUUAAUUCAUCAUUUCAUGGCCGAUUACAUAGAAAUUGGUAUUUCUUUCGAUGAGGUUCUACUCGCUACAAUCAAUAAUUCUUUAGCUAAUUUUAAUCUCGGCGGUCCUGGUUCGCGUAAUUACAUACGACGACUGGUUCUUUUUAGGUUAUUUGGCUCGUUCGACAAACCAACAAUUAAUGAACUUGCAAAAUCUGUUGGAGAUUUCUGCAAGAAUCUCACUCAUCCUGUCAAUUUUUGUUUCUCUGCUAUCGGGAUGCAUUACAUUAACAAGUCGAUGUUGUUAUAUGCUAGCCCUAAUUUAACACUAUUAGAUCUACAUACAAGAUUGUAUGAUGCUAUCACCUACGGCAUAGGUUUGGAUGUUCAUGAAGACUUUACACCAGAUAAUUGGGUGCCUUCGGUAGCUUUAAGAGAAAUUAAUAAUGAUUACUUUGAGGAAUCUUUAAGGGUAUUUCGUGAAAGGAUAAAUUUACCAGUAUAUGGCUACGGUCUUUCAGUUGAAAUACGUCGCUUAAGAAUUGGGGAUAUAAAGAUUGCAAGUUUUCCUCUUUCUCGUUUCCAGCUACCCAUCCCACUUCCCUCGCCUCCGCUCCCAUGACAACUUUAGGAGGCAAGUAAUACCAGCUCGGAAGUAUAAUAGAGAAUUCUUAUAACCUUUUUCUGGACUUCCUAGAAGGAAGAUAGAUCGAAGAGCACAUUGGUUAUACAUUUCUAACCUUAUUUUGGUCUUUCUAGUUUAUGACACCAGUGCCAUGCAACAUAUAUGAUUCAUUUUGUGGAGGCUUAAAAUUACUAUUGUAGCUAUUCACUAUCUAUUAUCAUCCUAUAUGUUCAAUGGUUUAGUUAGUCUUAUUGUUUAUUGUUUUAA